CUACGGGUUGCUGCAGUGGGGAAUAUUGCACAAUGGGCGCAAGCCUGAUGCAGCCAUGCCGCGUGUAUGAAGAAGGCCUUCGGGUUGUAAAGUACUUUCAGCGGGGAGGAAGGGAGUAAAGUUAAUACCUUUGCUCAUUGACGUUACCCGCAGAAGAAGCACCGGCUAACUCCGUACCAGCAGCCGCGGUAAUACGGAGGGUGCAAGCGUUAAUCGGAAUUACUGGGCGUAAAGCGCACGCAGGCGGUUUGUUACGUCAGAUGUGAAAUCCCCGGGCUCAACCUGGGAACUGCAUCUGAUACUGGCAAGCGUGAGUCUCGUAGAGGGGGGUAGAAUUCCAGGUGUAGCGGUGAAAUGCGUAGAGAUCUGGAGGAAUACCGGUGGCGAAGGCGGCCCCCUGGACGAAGACUGACGCUCAGGUGCGAAAGCGUGGGGAGCAAACAGGAUUAGAUACCCGCGUAGUC
rnacentral:rRNA from 1 species